rnacentral:rRNA from 1 species
GGGCAGCAUGCACGCGUCCAGGCGCACCCAGAAACCCUUUGUGAACUUAUACCUUUUGUUGCCUCGGCGCAUGCUGGCCUCUAGUAGGCCCCUCACCCCGGUGAGGAGAAGGCACGCCGGCGGCCAAGUUAACUCUUGUUUUUACACUGAAACUCUGAGAAAAAACACAAAUGAAUCAAAACUUUCAACAACGGAUCUCUUGGUUCUGGCAUCGAUGAAGAACGCAGCGAAAUGCGAUAAGUAAUGUGAAUUGCAGAAUUCAGUGAAUCAUCGAAUCUUUGAACGCACAUUGCGCCCUCUGGUAUUCCGGAGGGCAUGCCUGUUCGAGCGUCAUUUCAACCCUCAAGCACUGCUUGGUGUUGGGGCACUGCUUUUUUACCAAGAGCAGGCCCUGAAAUCUAGUGGCGAGCUCGCCAGGACCCCGAGCGCAGUAGUUAAACCCUCGCUCUGGAAGGCCCUGGCGGUGCCCUGCCGUUAAACCCCCAACUUUUGAAAAUUUGACCUCGGAUCAGGUAGGAAUACCCGCUGAACUUAAGCAUAUCAA